rnacentral:rRNA from 1 species
UUCGCAUGGGCGAGCCUGACGGAGCACGCCGCGUGAGUGAUGAAGGUCUUCGGAUCGUAAAACUCUGUUAUCAGGGAAGAACAAAUGUGUAAGUAACUGUGCACAUCUUGACGGUACCUGAUCAGAAAGCCACGGCUAACUACGUGCCAGCAGCCGCGGUAAUACGUAGGUGGCAAGCGUUAUCCGGAAUUAUUGGGCGUAAAGCGCGCGUAGGCGGUUUUUUAAGUCUGAUGUGAAAGCCCACGGCUCAACCGUGGAGGGUCAUUGGAAACUGGAAAACUUGAGUGCAGAAAAGGAAAGUGGAAUUCCAUGUGUAGCGGUGAAAUGCGCAGAGAUAUGGAGGAACACCAGUGGCGAAGGCGACUUUCUGGUCUGUAACUGACGCUGAUGUGCGAAAGCGUGGGGAUCAAACAGGAUUAGAUACCCUGGUAGUCCACGCCGUAAACGAUGAGUGCUAAGUGUUAGGGGGUUUCCGCCCCUUAGUGCUGCAGCUAACGCAUUAAGCACUCCGCCUGGGGAGUACGACCGCAAGGUUGAAACUCAAUGAAAUUUGACGGA